rnacentral:rRNA from 1 species
GGAAUUGCUAGUAAUCGCGGAUCAGCAUGCCGCGGUGAAUACGUUCUCGGGCCUUGUACACACCGCCCGUCACACCAUGGGAGUCGGUAACACCCGAAGUCUGUAGCCUGACGCAAGAGGGCGCAGCCGAAGGUGGGAUUGAUGACUGGGGUGAAGUCGUAACAAGGUAUC